rnacentral:lncRNA from 1 species
CGCCCAAAACAUAGCCCCCGAAGGUCGGGGUGCCAAGACCCCCCAGCGGAAAAAUGGCCAAAAAACGGGUGGGCUAUAGCCUUGGUGGGGGGCGUAGGCGAAGUUCGUCCACAGGACUCGGAAUGGCCCCAGACUUUGCGGGCGGCCCUCGUGUGCCAAUAAUAGGCCACGGGCACAGCCGCGCCAAAAAAUUUGCCCCCGAAGGUCGGGGUGCCAAGACCCCCCAGCGGAAAAAUGGCCAAAAAACGGGUGGGCUAUAGCCUUGGUGGGGGGCGUUGGCGAAGUUCGUCCGCAGGACUCGGAAUGGCCCCAGACUUUGCGGGCGGCCCUCGUGUGCCAAAAAUAGGCCACGGGCACAGUCGCGCCCAAAAAUUAGCCCCCGAAGGUCGGGGUGCCAAGACCCCCCAGCGGAAAAAUAGCCAUAAAACGGGUGGGCUAUAGCCUUGGUGGGGGGCGUGGGCGAAGAUCGUCCGCAGGACUCGGAAUGGCCCCAGACUAUGCGGGCGGCCCUCGUCUGCCAAAAAUAGGCCACGGACACAGCCGCGCCGAAAAAUUAGCCCCCGAAGGUCGGGGUGCCAAGACCCCCCAGCGGAAAAAUGGCCAAAAAACGGGUGGUUUAUAGCCUUGGUGGGGGGCGUGGGUGAAGUUCGUCCGCCGGACUCGGAAUGGCCCCAGACUUUGCGGGCGGCCCUCGUGCGCCAAAAAUAGGCCACGGGCACAGCCGCGCCCAAAAAUUAGCCCCCGAAGGUCGGGGUGCCAAGACCCCCGAGCGGAAAAAUGGCCAAAAAACGGGUGGUUUAUAGCCUUGGUGGGGGGCGUGGGCGAAGUUCGUCCGCCGGACUCGGAAUGGCCCCAGACUUUGCGGGCAGCCCUCGUGUGCCAAAAAUAGCCCACGGGCACAGCCGUGCCCAAAAAUUAGCCCCCGAAGGUCGGGGUGCCAAGACCCCCCAGCGGAAAAAUGGCCAAAAAACGGGUGGGCUAUAGCCUUGGUGGGGGGCGUUGGCGAAGUUCGUCCGCAGGGCUCGGAAUGGCCCCAGACUUUACGGGCGGCCCUCGUCUGCCAAAAAUAGGCCACGGGCACAGCCGCGCCCAAAAAUUAGCCCCCGACGGUCGGGGUGCCAAGAUCCCCCUGCGGAAAAAUGGCCAAAAAACGGGUGGGCUAUAGCCUUGGUGGGGGGCGUGGGCGAAGUUCGUCCGCAGGACUCGGAAUGGACCCAGACUUUGCGGGCGGCCCUCGUCUGCCAAAAAUAGGCCACGGGCACACCCGCGCCCAAAAAUUAGCCCCCGAAGGUCGGGGUGCCAAGACCCCCCAGCGGAAAAAUGGACAAAAAGCGGGUGGGCUAUAGCGUUGGAGGGGGGCGUGGGCGAAGUUCGUCCGCCGGACUCGGAAUGGCCCCAGACUUUGCGGGCGGCCUCCGUGUGCCAAAAAUAGGCCAUGGGCACAGCUGCGCCCAAAAACUAGCCCCCGAAGGUCGGGGUGCCAAGACCCCCCAGCGGAAAAAUGGCCAAAAAACGGGUGGGCUAUAGCCUUCGUGGGGGGCGUGGGCGAAGUUCGUCCGCCGGACUCGAAAUGGCCCCAGACUUUGCGGGCGGCCCUCGCGUGCCAAAAAUAAGCCACGAUCACAGCCGCGCCCAAAAAUUAGCCCCCGAAGGUCGGGGUUUCAAGACGCGCUAGCGGAAAAAUGGCCAAAAAACGGGUGGGCUAUAGCCUUGGUGGGGGGCGUGGGCGAAGUUCGUCCGCAGGACUCGGAAUGGCCCCAGACUUUGCGGGCGGCCCUCGUGUGCCAAAAAUAGGCCACGGACACAGUCGCGCCCAAAAAUUAGCCCCCGAAUGUCGGGGUGCCAAGACCCCCCAGCGGAAAAAUGGCCGAAAAACGGGUGGGCUAUAGCCUUGGUGGGGGGCGCGGGCGAAGUUCGUCCGCCGGACUCGGGAUGGCCCCAGACCUUGCGGGCGGCCCUCGUGUGCCAAAAAAAGGCCACGGGCACAGCCGCGCCCAAAAAUUAGCCCCCGAAGGUCGGGCUGCCAAGACCCCCCAGCGGAAAAAUGGCCAAAAAACGGGUGGGCUAUAGCCUUGGUGGGGGGCGUGGGCGAAGUUCGUCCGCAGGACUCGGAAUGACCCAAGACUUUGCGGGCGGCCCUCGUGUGCCAAUAAUAGGCCACGGGCACAGCCGCGCCCAAAAAUUUGCCCCCGAAGGUCGGGGUACCAAGACCCCCCAGCGGAAAAAUGGCCAAAAAACGGGUGGGCUAUAGCCUUCGUGGGGGGCGUUGGCGAAGUUCGUCCGCAGGACUCGGAAUGGCCCCAGACUUUGCGGGCGGCCAUCGUGUGCCAAAAAUAGGCCACGGGCGUAGCCGCGCCCAAAAAUUAGCCCCCGAAGUUCGGGGUGCCAAGACCCCCCAGCGGAAAAAUAGCCCUAAAACGGGUGGGCUAUAGCCUUCGUGGGGGGCGUGGGCGAAGAUCGUCCGCAGGACUCGGAAUGGCCCCAGACUUUGCGGGCGGCCCUUGUCUGCCAAAAAUAGGCCACGGACACAGCCGCGCCCAAAAAUUAGCCCCCGAAGGUCGGGGUGCCAAGACCCCCCAGCGGAAAAAUGGCCAAAAAACGGGUGGUUUAUAGCCUUGGUGGGGGGCGUGGGAGAAGUUCGUCCGCCGGACUCGGAAUGGCCCCAGACUUUGCGGGCGGCCCUCGUGUGCCAAAAAUAGGCCACGGGCACAGCCGCGCCCAAAAAUUAGCCCCCGAAGGUCGGGGUGCCAAGACCCCCCAGCGGAAAAAUGGCCAAAAAACGGGUGGGCUAUAGCCUUGGUGGGGGGGGUGGGCGAAGUUCGUCCGCAGGACUAGAAAUGCCCCAAGACUUUGUAGUCGGCCCUCGUGUGCCAAAAAUUGGCCACGGACACAGCCGCGCCCAAAAAUUAGCCCCCGAAGGUCGGGGUGCCAAGACCCCCCAGCGGAAAAAUGGACAAAAAGCGGGUGGGCUAUAGCGUUGGAGGGGGGCGUGGGCGAAGUUCGUCCGCCGGACUCGGAAUGGCCCCAGACUUUGCGGGCGGCCUCCGUGUGCCAAAAAUAGGCCACGGGCACAGCUGCGCCCAAAAACUAGCCCCCGAAGGUCGGGGUGCCAAGACCCCCCAGCGGAAAAAUGGCCAAAAAACGGGUGGGCUAUAGCCUUGGGGGUGGGGCUGGCAAACUUCGUCCGCCGGACUCGGAAUGCCCCCAGACUUUGCGGCCGGCCCUCGUGUGCCAAAAAUAGGCCGCGGGCACAGCCGCUCCCAAAAAUAACCGCCCGAACGCCGGGGCGCCAAGUUCGUCCCGCGGAAAAAGGCCACAAAAACGGGUGGGCUAUAGCCUUGGGGGGUGGGGCUGACCAACUUCGUCCGCCGGACUUGGAAUGGCGCGAGACUUUGCGAGCGUCCUCCGUGUGGCAAAAAUAGGCCGCAGGCACAGCCACGCCCAAAAAUAACCGCACGAAGGCCGGGGCACCAAGUUCGUCCAGCGGAAAAAGGCCACGAAAACGGGUGGGGCUGGCAAACUUCGUCCGCCGGACUCGGAAUGGCGCGAGACUUUGCGAGCGGCCUCCAUGUGCCAAAAAUAGGCCGCGGGCACAGCCGCGCCCAAAAAUAACCGCGUGAAGGCCAGGGCGUCAUGUUCGUCCAGCAGAACAAGGCCAAACAAACUGGUGGGCUAUAGCCUUGGGGGGUGCGGCUGGCCGACUUCGUCCGCCGGACUCGGAAUGGCGCGAGACUUUGCGAGCGGCCUCCGUGUGCCAAAAAUAGGCCGCGGGCACAGCCGCGCCCAAAAAUAACCGCCCGAAGGCCGGGGCGCCAAGUUCGUCCAGCGGAAAAAGGCCACAAAAACGGGUGGGCUAUAGCCUUGGGGGGUGGGGCUGGCCCACUUCGUCCGCCGGACUCGGAAUGGCACGAGACUUUGCGAGUGGCCUCCAUGAGCCAAAAAUAGGCCACGGGCACAGCCGCGCCCAAAAAUAACCGCCCGAAGGCCGGGGCGCCGAGUUCGUCCAGCGGAAAAAGGCCACAAAAACGGGUGGGCUAUAGCCUUGGGGGGUGGGGCUGGCCAACUUCGUCCGCCGGACUCGGAAUGGCGCGAGACUUUGCGAGGCACCUCCGUGUGCCAAAAAUAGGCCGCGGGCACAGCAGUACCCAAAAAUAACCUCCGGAAGGCCGGGGCGCCGAGUUCGUCCAGCGGAAAAAGGCCAGAAAAACGGGUGGGCUAUAGCCUUGGGGGGUGGGGCUGGCCAACUUCAUCUGCCGGACUCGGAAUGGCGCGAGUCUUCAUGAACGGCCUCCGUGUGCCAAAUAUAGGCCACGGGCACAGCCCCGUCCAAAAAUAACCGCCCGAACACCGGGGCGCCAAGUUCGUCCCGCGGAAAAAGGCCACAAAAACGGGAGGGCUAUAGCCUUGGGGGGUGGGGCUGGCCAACUUCGUCCGCCGGACUUGGAAUGGCGCGAGACUUUACGAGCGUCCUCCGUGUGCCAAAAAUAGGCCGCAGGCACAGCCACGCCCAAAAAUAACCGCACGAAGGCCGGGGCAACAAGUUCGUCCAGCGGAAAAAGGCCACGAAAACGGGUGGGCUAUAGCCUUGGGGGGUGGGGCUGGCCCACAUCGUCCGCCGGACUCGGAAUGGCACGAGACUUUGCGAGCGGCCUCCGUGUGCCAAAAAUAGGCCGCGGGCACAGCCACAACCAAAAAUUACUGCCCGAAGGCCGGGGUGCCCAGUUUGUCCAGCGGAAAAAGGCCACAAAAACGGGUGGGCUAUAGCCUUGCGGGGUGGGGAUAGCCAACUUCGUCCGCCGUACACGGAAUGGCGCAAGACUUUGCGAUUGGCCUCCGUGUGCCAAAAAUAGGCCGCGGGUACAGCCGCGCCCAAAAAAAACCACCCGAAGGCCGGGGCGCCAAGUUCGUCCAGCGGAAAAAGGCCACAAAAACGGGUGGGCUAUAGCCUUGGGGGGUGGGGCUAUCCAAAUUCGUCCGCCGGACUCGGAAAGGCGCGAGACUUUACGAGGCACCUCCGUGUGCCAAAAAUCGGUCGCGAGCAUAGCCGCGCCCAAAAAUAUCCGCCCGAAGGCCGGGGCGCCAAGUUCGUCCAGCGGAAAAAGGCCACAAAAACGGGUGGGCUAUAGCCUUGGGGGGUGGGGCUGGCCAACUUCGUCCGCCAGACUGGGAAUGGUGCUAGACUUUGCGAGGCACCUCCGUGUGCCAAAAAUAGGCCGUGGGCACAACCGCACCCAAAAAUAACUGCCCGAUGGCCGGGGCGCCAAGUUCGUCCAGCGGAAAAAGGCCACAAAAACGGGUGGGCUAUAGCCUUGGGGGAUGGGGCUGGCCGACUUCGUCCGCCGGACUCGGAAUGGCUCGAGACUUUGCGUGCGUCCUCCGUGUGACAAAAAUAGGCCGCGGGCACAGCCGCGCCCAAAAAUAACCCCCCGAAGGCCGGGGCGCCAAGUUCGUCCAGCGGAAAAUGGCCACAAAAACGGGUGGGCUAUAGCCUUGGGGGGUGCGGCUGGCCAACUUCGUCCGCCGGACUCGGAACGGCGCGAGACUUUGCGAGGCACCUCCGCGUGCCAAAAAUAGGCCGCGGACACAGCUGUGCCCAAAAAUAACAGCCCGAAGGCCGGGGCGCCAAGUUCGUCCAGGGGAAAAAGGCCUCAAAAACUGGUGCGCUAUAGCCUUGGGGGGUGGGGCUGGCCAACUUCGUCCGCCGGACUCGGAAUGGCGCGAGACUUUGCGAGGCACCUCUAUGUACCAAAAAUAGGCCGCGGGCACAGCCGCUCCCAAAAAUAAACCCCCGAAGGCCGGGGCACCAAGUUCGUCCAACGGAAAAAGGCCACAAAAACGGGUGGGCUAUAGC